UACGUAGGGUGCAAGCGUUUGUCCGGAAUUAUUGGGCGUAAAGAGCUCGUAGGCGGUCUGUCGCGUCUGCUGUGAAAACUCAGGGCUUAACCCCUGAGCUUGCAGUGGGUACGGGCAGACUAGAGUGCGGUAGGGGGAGACUGGAAUUCCUGGGUGUAGCGGUGAAAUGCGCAGAUAUCAGGAGGAACACCGGUGGCGAAGGCGGGUCUCUGGGCCGUAACU
rnacentral:rRNA from 1 species